rnacentral:rRNA from 1 species
GGGUGGUAAUGCCGGAUGCUCCGACUCCUCGCAUGGGGUGUCGGGAAAGAUUUCAUCGGUAUGGGAUGGGGUCGCGUCCUAUCAGGUAGUCGGCGGGGUAACGGCCCACCGAGCCUACGACGGGUAGCCGGCCUGAGAGGGCGACCGGCCACAUUGGGACUGAGAUACGGCCCAGACUCCUACGGGAGGCAGCAGUGGGGAAUAUUGCACAAUGGGCGCAAGCCUGAUGCAGCGACGCCGCGUGCGGGAUGACGGCCUUCGGGUUGUAAACCGCUUUUGAUCGGGAGCAAGCCUUCGGGUGAGUGUACCUUUCGAAUAAGCACCGGCUAACUACGUGCCAGCAGCCGCGGUAAUACGUAGGGUGCAAGCGUUAUCCGGAAUUAUUGGGCGUAAAGGGCUCGUAGGCGGUUCGUCGCGUCCGGUGUGAAAGUCCAUCGCUUAACGGUGGAUCUGCGCCGGGUACGGGCGGGCUGGAGUGCGGUAGGGGAGACUGGAAUUCCCGGUGUAACGGUGGAAUGUGUAGAUAUCGGAAAA